AACGCGAAGAACCUUACCAAGGCUUGACAUAUUCGAGAACGCUGCAGAAAUGUAGAACUCUUUGGACACUCGUUUACAGGUGGUGCAUGGUUGUCGUCAGCUCGUGUCGUGAGAUGUUGGGUUAAGUCCCGCAACGAGCGCAACCCUCGUUCUAUGUUGCCAGCACGUAAUGGUGGGAACUCAUGGGAUACUGCCGGGGUCGAACUCGGAGGAAGGUGGGGAUGACGUCAAAUCAUCAUGCCCCUUAUGUCUUGGGCUUCACGCAUGCUACAAUGGCCGGUACAAAGGGCUGCGAUACCGUAAGGUGGAGCGAAUCCCAAAAAGCCGGUCCCAGUUCGGAUUGAGGUCUGCAACUCGACCUCAUGAAGUCGGAGUCGCUAGUAAUCGCAGAUCAGCAACGCUGCGGUGAAUACGUUCCCGGGCCUUGUACACACCGCGCAUA
rnacentral:rRNA from 1 species